GGCUCGAGCUGCAGCUCCGGGCUUGGAGCUGCUCCAUUUUGCCCCCUUUGGCAGGGCUGCGGCCAAAGAGGCCCUUCGUCCAGCCUCUGACAUCCUUGAAUCCAAAUCAAUCCAGCGCCCGCCCACAAAUCUCGCUGCCUACCCAGCGCCUCUGCACGCCCCUCCGCUAUCUCCGCCCCAGCUGCCGCCUCCUCGCUACUCCUCGCGGCGCGCACCGUCGCCCCCGUCACGCCGUCACAGCCGCCAUCUCCUCCUUGCCUCCUCGCGGUACGCCUCGUCAUCCUCCGUCGCGCCAUCGCCGUCGCCGGAACCCUAGGCCGCCGGAGUCGGAACUCCCGGCGGCAGGGAACUGGGAGGAGGAUGCAUCAAUGGCAUCGUCGACUCCAUGAAGGUGCGCGUCGCGCCGCAGCCGCCCCCACUGCCGUCGCCGCCGCUCGGGCCCGGCCGCCGCGGCGGGGGAGGGUUUUGGGGUGCCGGUUGGUACUGGCGGGCGGUCGCGUUCCCGGCCGUCCCGGCUCAUGCGGGCGCCGUACCCACUUGCUCGCCUUCGAUUCGCGGCCGCUAUUGGCCUCCCUGGCGGGUCGCAGACGCCGUCGGCCUUCCUCUCGGUCGCCGACUUCGUGCUGAGUUCCUCCUCGAUUACCCCAUCUCUCUCCACCCGCUUGCCACCGCCACUCUCAUCCUCGCGCUCGCCGGAAGCCAGCGGGAGGACAGGCACGCCUACUACCCCCGUCCGCUUGUGCGAGGCGUCGCAGCCGCGAGGAGGAGGAGGCCGGCAGGAGGAAGGGCAAGCUUGGAACCCUUGCUGGCACCGCAGCCACGAGGAGGAGGCGGCCAUGGGCAAGCUUGGAACCCUUGCUGGCGUCUACCCCCGCCACCAAGUGCAGAUCGACCACUCUCAGUCCCCCUGUCAAGUUUGGAGAGGAAGUUCUUGAUUUCAGCCCCCCUGUCAGGUUUGGAGAGGGAGUUCUUGAUUCCUGUCCCCCUGUCAGGUUUGGAGAGGAAGUUCUUGAUUUCAGGAGGAGUUCUGCAUGCAUUUGUAGCUAUCGAAGAGCAAGGCAAUGUUCUUACGGCGUUAAGGCGAGUUGUGGCGAGUCACCACUGCCUAGCCGCCUAGGCGGGCUAAGGCGACGCCUAGGCGGGCUAAAAUGCCUAGGCGGGCCAAAAUAGGGGAGCGCAAGAACAUUGACGUAGGGAAGAGGAGAAUGGGGAAGCUUUGAUUGGGAGAUGACAACAGUAGUCAUGUGGUGCACCUGAAGGUUCAGUUUUCAGAGGAUAAUAUUCAGGCUUAUCUCCAUCGCAUAUCCUCACCAUUUUCUCCACUAUUGAUAAAUUCUUAUGGUAUCUUAUGAGUUGAUGCUUGCGUUGAAUCCAGUUAAUUAUCAUGCAAUCGUUGAAUAAAGUUGAUACACAUCCAUUGCUCCAAUUUCUCUAUUAUCUUCAGAAGAUCUUGUUUUUCACUUUAUAAUUAUUAAUUAAUGGUUCAAUAGUUAAGAAGAUGCGCUCUGUUUGUAUACUCUCAAGAAUUCUCUGCUUUAUGGAUGAAGAAAUCUAGAGAAAUUGCGUACAUGAAUUUCAAAAUAAAAACAAAGAACUAGAUAGCAAGUUCGUAGAACAAACAAGAUUCAAGGCACUUGCACAUCACAGUUAAUAAAGAUAAUUUUACAACCUUAGCUGAAAUAGGAAAGCCGGCUCCGUGGCAAGUCUGGAAAGUGAAUGCCAAACGUUUCAAUUGACUUAUCAUGGUAGCAAUGAUAAGCCUGCAUCAGCUGUGCCUGCAAUGUUCCUGGCUAAUAGCAGCAGAAAUGACUAAUUCAGUUUAGAUUUUGAUGGAAGUUGCUGGAUUUCGCGCUGCUCAAGUGCAGCUCCAUGUCCUUCAACAUCGAGAAGCAGGAGACCGCCAUGUCCAAGUGGUCAAGAGUGAGAACUCGAGCUGCCAAGGUUCGAAAGGGAUUGUUCAAUGAUGACAAGGCUCAGAAGCUCGCAUUGCAGCACUGGCUCAAAGCGGUUGGAAAGGGAUUGUUCAAUGAUGGCAAGGCUCAGAAGCUCGCAUUGCAGCACUGGUUCGAAGCUGUGAGUGUUGAUUGAAUAUACUUCUGAUUUUUUUUUAGAUAUUACAUAUUUUUCGAUCAAGCAAUAAGCUAAUGUUCGUUUCUUACUGAAAUUGGUUGCAAACUGAUUGACCCACGACACCGCUGCGGUCAUAACCUUCACUACUACUACGAUUGCUGGCUCCAAUGUGAAAGAAGCAGCCUUUCUUGAUUUCUUCUACUGCGACGACAUGACCGGUCCUGAAGUUCGGUUCUGUAGGGAACGACGUUCACAGUGAAAGGUGGCCAUCAAGAAUCGAUGGAAAAGUGGUAGCAAUGCGGCCAAGGGCAAUUAAGAGUCGGUGCAAGACAGAUAAAAGGUGUACCACCCCAUUAUGUGUAUUCUUUUUUGUAAAUUUCAAGCAUUCCUGAUUGUUAGUAUCAGGAUUGGAUUCAUUGAAUGCUAUUUGUAAUGCACUAUGAAUAUUUUGCAGUAGCAACGCACGGGCACGAACCUAGUCUACCUA